UACGGGGGGGCAAGCGUUGUUCGGAAUUACUGGGCGUAAAGGGCUCGUAGGCGGCCAACUAAGUCAGACGUGAAAUCCCUCGGCUUAACCGGGAACUGCGUCUGAUACUGGAUGGCUUGAGUUUGGGAGAGGAUGCGGAAUUCCAGGUGUAGCGGUGAAAUGCGUAGAUAAUCUGGAGGAACACCGGUGGCGAAGGCGGCAUCCUGGACCAACACUGACGCUGAGGAGCGAAAGCCAGGGAGGCAAACGGG
rnacentral:rRNA from 1 species